GGAUGACCAACUGUCCUGGUUUGCCUGGGACUGAGAGGUUUCCAGGGACAUGGAACUUCUACUGGUGAGACCAGAGAAGUCCUGGGAAAUUC
rnacentral:miRNA from 1 species